rnacentral:misc_RNA from 1 species
UUUCUUCACCAGCAAUCGUACAGGUAAAUUAACUAUCACCAUUUUUUAUCCGAUUAUGUUCUUUCUUUCUUGUAUUUCUGGAUGACAGUUUUGUACAUGGUACAAGCACUGCUUCUUGAGCACAUACUUCAUAGCAUAUAAAAUUUUGUGCGUCCGUCAAUUUGUUUUGUCUCUUUGUGAUUUGCUUUUGAAUGCCAUCCACUUUAGCAACAGAAUAGCUUUUCUGUUGAAAGAAUGAAAAAUGCACAUUUUUGCUCGCACACAGUUUAAAUGGUGAAAGUUGCAUUGGCAAUUCGUGGCAACUGUCUUCUGUAAAUUUU